rnacentral:lncRNA from 1 species
UUCUUUUCUGAUGCACAACCCAAACCCAAAUGUAGUUGGACUUCAAUGCGAACACCAAAUAUUGGGUGAAAAAUCCAAAAAAAAAAUACGUAUUUAUUUUUUUCUAUAAGAAACAAUGAUUUCUCAAAGUAAAGAAAAUGACGGACUGAUAAUUUAGAGAGAAAUAGGUAUUUAGAGAAGUUAAUUAGGAUAAGGGGAGAAUGUCUAUUGGUCAGAUCGUUGAAGUGACAGUAUAAUUUUUAAAGUACAAUUAGG